CCUACGGGAGGCAGCAGUAGGGAAUCUUCCACAAUGGGCGCAAGCCUGAUGGAGCAACACCGCGUGAGUGAAGAAGGGUUUCGGCUCGUAAAGCUCUGUUGUUGGAGAAGAACGUGCGUGAGAGUAACUGUUCACGCAGUGACGGUAUCCAACCAGAAAGUCACGGCUCACUACGUGCCAGCAGCCGAGGUAAUAAGUAGGAGGCAAGCGUUAUCCGGAGUUAUUGGGCGUAAAGCGAGCGCAGGCGGUUGCUUAGGUCUGAUGUGAAAGCCUUCGGCUUAACCGAAGAAGUGCAUCGGAAACCGGGCAACUUGAGUUCAGGAGAGGACAGUGGAACUCCAUGUGUAGCGGUGGAAUGCGUAGAUAUAUGGAAGAACACCAGUGGCGAAGGCGGCUGUCUGGUCUGCAACUGACGCUGAGGCUCGAAAGCAUGGGUAGCGAACAGGAUUAGAUACCCGUGUAGUC
rnacentral:rRNA from 1 species